rnacentral:rRNA from 1 species
ACGGGUGAGUAAUACGUGGGUAACCUGCCCUGCACUUCGGGAUAAGCUUGGGAAGCUGGGUCUAAUACCGGAUAGGACUGGUUGGCGCAUGCUGGCUGGUGGAAAGCUCCUUUUGGGGUGGUGUGGGAUGGGCUUGCGGCCUAUCAGUUUGUUGGUGGGGUGAUGGCCUACCAAGACUGUGACGGGUAGCCGGCCUGAGAGGGUGUUCGGCCACACUGGGACUGAGAUACGGCCCAGACUCCUACGGGAGGCAGCAGUGGGGAAUUUUGCGCAAUGGGCGGAAGCCUGACGCAGCAACACCGCGUGGGGGAUGACGGCUUUCGGGUUGUAAACCUCUUUCACCACAGACGAAGGCAUCAUUGUUGUGGUGUUGACGGUAUGUGGAUAAGAAGCACCGGCUAACUACGUGCCAGCAGCCGCGGUAAUGCGUAGGGUGCGAGCGUUGUCCGGAUUUAUUGGGCGUAAAGGGCUCGUGGGUGGUUUGUCGCGUUGGUCGUGUAAUCCUGGGGCUUAACUUUGGGGCUGCGGCUGAUACGGGCAGGCUUGAGUUCGGUUGGGGAAACUGGAAUACCUGGUGUAGCGGUGA